UCCCUGGUAGCUCAAACGGUAAAGAAUCUGCCUGCAAUGCAGGAGACCUGGGUUUGAUCCCUGGAUUGGGAA
rnacentral:tRNA from 1 species